GGUGCAUCUGGCAACCCCACCAAACCAGCCUCCCAUCCCGGAAGCCAGCAGCAACCACACCUCCUCGUGGUUCUUCCUCAGGUCGGCGUUGGCCUCCUCCAGAGCACGCACCUUGUCCAGGUAGGAGGCCAGGCGGUCACUGAGGUGCUGCAUGGUCACCUUCUCACUGCCCACCAGAAGCCCAUCACCACCAGCAAAGCCACCACCCAAGCCAGCACCCAAGCCACCACCGACGCCAGCACCAAGGCCACCACCAUAUCCUCCCCCAAAGCCACUAGCAAAGCUGCUGCUGCUGCCGAAGCCACCGCCAUAGCCGCCCCCCAGCCCGC
rnacentral:lncRNA from 1 species